GGGCGUUUAGCUCAGCUGGGAGAGCGCUACCCUUACAAGGUAGAUGUCGGCGGUUCGAUCCCGUCAACGCCCACCA
rnacentral:tRNA from 8 species